rnacentral:misc_RNA from 1 species
UGGUCGAGGCAUGAGUCGGUACACGAGACGCUAAACGAAGGCAUCGACUAGGGACACGGAUGGCACAUUAGUCGGUAUAUGAUGGUUGUUGUUGGGACACGAGUUGGAACACUAAUCGGUAUAUGAACAUGACGCCCCCGAGUGGGCACGUCGUUCGGGGCUUGCCCUUGACGACGUGCUUGCGCCAACGGUCGGUCUAGGCCAACCGGGUCAAAAUGACGAUGURGCUMCACAACGUCAUUGAGGCAAGUUGGUUUUGUUGUUUUCUUUUUGUUACUUUCGCAUCGUUCGGUGCAUUCUGGGGGCUGUUUUGGCUAUUGGUGGCUUGCUUGGCUUUUUGUCGGGUGGGUCGUUAUUAGUUGGGCGGUUUUCGGGAAUGACGRCCGGGAAGGUGCAUGAGUGGUGUUUGGUUUGUUACGGGUGGUUGGCUGUCUGCUCGCGCAGCAACGUCCACGCGUGCAUACCUCUUCAGUUUUGCAGCAAGGCWUUGAUUGUCUUGAGCAUAAUGUGGGUUUCCUGUGUUGCAUACCUAACCGAUGGUAACGUGUGGGUUUUAUGAUGUUCCUUUUCGUCAUGCGUCGCUYGUGCGGUGUGGGAUGAACAGGUAAGCGGUCUUUGUGAUUCACCUUGUUGUUGCAUUUGCAACGAUGAUGUGGCCUAUGAAGCAUYGCUUGGUAUCUUGUAUACAGAACCUGAUGUGGGCAUGGGUCUUAUAAGAUCUUGAAUCUGCCCUCAUUAAGCGUUCUCGCUUCUCYAAAACGAUUUCCURCCAUGUCUUGGCUCGACCUUGCAUGGUGGGCUACGUCGA